rnacentral:rRNA from 1 species
CACAUGCAAGUCGAGCGGUAGAGAGAAGCUUGCUUCUCUUGAGAGCGGCGGACGGGUGAGUAAUGCCUAGGAAUCUGCCUGGUAGUGGGGGAUAACGUUCGGAAACGGACGCUAAUACCGCAUACGUCCUACGGGAGAAAGCAGGGGACCUUCGGGCCUUGCGCUAUCAGAUGAGCCUAGGUCGGAUUAGCUAGUUGGUGAGGUAAUGGCUCACCAAGGCGACGAUCCGUAACUGGUCUGAGAGGAUGAUCAGUCACACUGGAACUGAGACACGGUCCAGACUCCUACGGGAGGCAGCAGUGGGGAAUAUUGGACAAUGGGCGAAAGCCUGAUCCAGCCAUGCCGCGUGUGUGAAGAAGGUCUUCGGAUUGUAAAGC